rnacentral:rRNA from 1 species
GUGCCAGCAGCCGCGGUAAGACGAACCGUGCGAACGUUGUUCGGAAUCACUGGGCUUAAAGGGCGCGUAGGCGGUUUACCAAGUCGGGGUUGAAAUCUUUCGGCUCAACCGGAAAAGUGGCUUCGAUACUGGUAAGCUGGAGGGAGGUAGGGGCGGAUGGAACUUCCGGUGGAGCGGUGAAAUGUGUUGAUAUCGGAAGGAACGCCGGUGGCGAAAGCGAUCCGCUGGACCUCUUCUGACGCUGAGGCGCGAAAGCCAGGGGAGCAAACGGGAUUAGAUACCCCCGUAGUCC